rnacentral:rRNA from 1 species
AACGAACGCUGGCGGCAUGCCUAACACAUGCAAGUCAAACGAAGGCUUCGGCCUUAGUGGCGCACGGGUGCGUAACGCGUGGGAAUCUGCCCCUUGGUUCGGGAUAACAGUUGGAAACGACUGCUAAUACCGGAUGAUAUCGAGCGAUCAAAGAUUUAUCGCCAGGGGAUGAGCCCGAGUCGGAUUAGUUAGUUGGUGGGGUAAGGGCCUACCAAGGCGACGAUCCGUAGCUGGUCUGAGAGGAUGAUCAGCCACACUGGGACUGAGACACGGCCCAGACUCCUACGGGAGGCAGGAAUGGGGAAUAUUGGACAAGGGGCGGAAGCCUGAUCCAGCAAUGCCGCGUGAGUGAUGAAGGCCUUAGGGUUGUAAAGCUCUUUUACCCGGGAUGGUAAUGACAGUACCGGGAGAAUAAGCCCCGGCUAACUCCGUGCCAGCAGCCGCAGUAA